AAAAAAACUGAGUUUAUUUUAUAUAAAAAAGGUACAUUUUACAUAUAACAAAUUGGUAUAUCUAAGAAUGAGUACAUUUUAAGAUUAAAAAUUUUAAAAAAUUACAUAAAUGGGUACAUGUAAGAUUAAAAAAUUGAAAACAUUUCUUAAAAAAAAGCUAAUGGGUACAAACUUAUUCUAAAAUUAGUUAGGAGUUUAAUAAAGGUGUGAGUAUUAAUAUUCUAAAUCAAUUAUUAAUUUUUAUUUAAAAAAAUUAUGUAACUGCAUGUAAAUUCAUUAUUACAUUAAUGCUAGAAAUUUCGAUCAAAAUCUAAAAACUAACAAGGUUUCAAUUAAUGAACAGUAAUAACUAGGGAUCUAAUUAAUGUCUUCGUGUUUAAAUUCAAAGCAAAAGUAAGAUAGUAUGAUAUAUCCUUCAUACUGUAUGACAUGCUGCACUUGAGAUUAUACUUUAUAAUACUUUGAUAGCUAUAAUUUUCUUUUGGAUACAACUUUGUAAUUUUGUUUGUUAUUAUAGCUAACUUAAUUCAGUUGGUGAGAAAUGUUAAGGGGAUUUUCUAAAAAAUGUGACUUUUUGUUACUUUUUGUUACCUUAUAGUUUAAUGCCAAUUUUUGUUCCAACAUUAUAAAAUAUUAUGCCCAAAGUAUGAGGUAACAAAGAGUCUAUAGAAAGUCCCACUUAUAAGAUAGUCUCCUUAGACCAUCUCUAAAGGAGAUAUCAGAUCCUAAGUUAAAUGUCAUGUAAUCAAAUUUGAAGGUAGAAAUAAUCUCCAACCGAUAUGUCAAUCCUAUGAAUUUUCAUACGUCAAAUUUGACAUAUGAGAAUGUGAUGUCAAAUAAUUUUUCAAUUGUUUUAUUGUGUGGAUCAUAUUAAUGCACUAAUUAUAGAUUUUGAUAAUUUAUUUUAAUUGAUUUCUUUGCCACUUAGUACUAUAGUCUAGUGGUAUUCCUCUUUACUUGUAAGUGAGAGGUCUUAGGUUCGAUUAAUGGAUCACUAUAACAAAAAUAUAAAAUAAAAAAAUAUGGGUUGGAGGAAGAGGAAAUCUCCUUAGUGUAGAUAAUAUCGUUUUAAAAAAUAAUUAAUUGAUUUCCUUUUAAAAAUGGAUCCUGCAAAUAUCAUUAUAACGAAAAAACAUAAGGGUUGGAGAAAGAGACAAUCUGACAUUACCACGUUAGCCAUCAAAUUAACAUUUGACAUUUAUCUUUUAAUAAUAGGACUAAAAGCGCAUCACAAAGUAGCACACAAAUGUCCUAUUGAUUUUCCUUAUUAACCCAAAGAUUUGUCAAUUGUAGCAUGAGAAAAUAAGGGUAUUUCCUGCAAAAGAUUGUUUUAUCUAACUACUUAAAAUAUCACAAAAACUGGGUUGCUGUUCCUACUGACCAGCCACUGAAAAAUAAUUAUUAGACUAACUUACAGUUGUCUAAUUCGACAAAAUUUUAUAUGCGGACACUAGACACACAGAGGUGCAGUCAUACAAAUUUUUGGGAUUUUUUGAGUUAAUUUUCUAUUUUAAUUAAAAUUCAACAAAAACAUAGUAGAAACAAAAGUGCAAUAAUAAAUACAGAUUGUAGUUCACAAGUUACGAAAAUGAGUUAGGGGGAUUGCUAUCCACCACCAAAUAAUCAUGCAGGCAUGUUAUAUUUCAUUUAAAUUCCUUUUAUCUCUGGAUGAAGAUGCUCAAAUUGGCUCAAUGUUAGAACUCAACUUAUUACUCUUUCUUACGUAGUACGUUAAGAGAAUUAUGUUUUCAACUUAACUUAAGUCCCUAGCAUGCAAUCUAGAAUGGCGUGUUCAUAGAUUUAACAAGUAGAAAUCAUUAAGAUUGAAAAGAGUUUGAGUCAUCACAAGGAAUCAUAAGUGCUGGUGUUGUCUUACUUAUCCUAGAAAUUGGUUCACGUGUUAAUUGCAAUUAACAAGUACUACUCUAUAACAUAUGUAGGUCCUCAUUCGACAAGGGCAGGCACACACAUAUUCAUAGCAUUAGAAUCCAAGAUAUGCUUACUAAGUGUGCAUCCAUAGAAAACACAUGAAGAAUUCAUCACUAAUAUAAGUAGUGAACCAAUUUUCAUCCAUUCAUAAAAGAAAUUCAAACAAAAUGUCACAACAAACUUCCAAUCAUAUUUGGGCCUUCAAAACAGCCCCUAACUUCGGAAAAUUUCGUUACACAUAAUUCUCGAAUUAAACCAAAAGAAAGACAUGAGUUUGAGAAGAUAAAACCAAAAAAAUAGAGUGUUAUCCCUGCUGCCUCUUUCCUUCCUCUCAUUUUAACUUAGCUUAUUUUCUCCCUUUUUCAUAACCUUCAAAAGGUGUAAAAUUUUCCACAUCAUGACAACUCAAUCUUAAUUAAAGCCAAUUAGUAGUGGGACUUGUUGUUUUCUUGGCUGCAUUAGUUUUGGCUGCUAGGAUUUAUUGCGUUUAUUGCUUUCAUUGCUUUAACUCCGCUUGUGUAAGUUUAUCUAACAUUGCUGGUCCCAAGCCCGGAUAAAGAAGGAGACCGAC
rnacentral:lncRNA from 1 species